UUGGCGGACUCCGAAAAGCCGGUGAAACAGAGUAGGAA
rfam:Chryseobacterium indologenes NBRC 14944 DNA, contig: CIN01S15.